UACGUAGGGUGCGAGCGUUAAUCGGAAUUACUGGGCGUAAAGCGUGCGCAGGCGGCGGCUCCAGUCAGGUGUGAAAUCCCCGGGCUUAACCUGGGAAUUGCGCUUGAUACUAGGUCGCUAGAGUGUGGCAGAGGGGGGUGGAAUUCCACGUGUAGCAGUGAAAUGCGUAGAGAUGUGGAGGAACACCGAUGGCGAAGGCAGCCCCCUGGGUCAACACUGACGCUCAGGCACGAAAGCGUGGGGAGCAAACAGG
rnacentral:rRNA from 1 species